rnacentral:rRNA from 1 species
GUGUACGAUCCUUUCAGCACUUAUGCAUCGUAUUCCAUCGAAACUCUGCAGUUAACAGUGCUUGGGCGAGAAUAGUUCUAAGAUCAGCAGACAGUAUUCAAUUCUUUUAGAGAGAUCAUGUGGUAGAGAUA